CUUUCCCUACGGGGGGCAGCAGUGGGGAAUAUUGCACAAUGGGGGGAACCCUGAUGCAGCGGCGCCGCGUGAAGGAAGAAGUAUUUCGGUAUGUAAACUUCUAUCAGCAGGGAAGAAAAUGACGGUACCUGACUAAGAAGCCCCGGCUAACUACGUGCCAGCAGCCGCGGUAAUACGGAGGGGGGAAGCGUUAUCCGGAUUUACUGGGUGUAAAGGGAGCGGAGGCGGCGAUGCAAGUCAGAAGUGAAAGCCCGGGGCUCAACUCCGGGACUGGUUUUGAAACU
rnacentral:rRNA from 1 species